GAAACACUAGUUAAUUAAUAAUAUUGGUUUGUCAAACCAAAGUUACUCUAUAUAGAGUGUAUUUCA
rnacentral:tRNA from 1 species